UACGUAGGGGGCAAGCGUUGUCCGGAUUUAUUGGGCGUAAAGAGCGUGUAGGCGGCCAGGUAGGUCAGCUGUGAAAACUCGAGGCUCAACCUCGAGACGCCGGUUGAAACCAUCUGGCUAGAGUCCGGAAGAGGAGAGUGGAAUUCCUGGUGUAGCGGUGGAAUGCGCAGAUAUCAGGAGGAACACCGGUGGCGAAGGCGGGUCUCUGGGCAGUAACUGACGCUGAGGAGCGAAAGCGUGGGGAGCGAACAGG
rnacentral:rRNA from 1 species